rnacentral:rRNA from 1 species
CCCUUAGAUGUUAUGGGCCGCACGCGUGCUACACUGAGUAAUUCAAUGGGUAAGGGAACGCUAGAGCAUUACCUAAUCUUGAAAUUUGCUCGUGAUGGGGAUCGACGGUUGCAAUUUUCCGUCGUGAACGAGGAAUACCUUGUAGGCGCAUGUCAUCAUCAUGCGCCGAAUACGUCCCUGCCCUUUGUACACACCGCCCGUCGCUCCUACCGAUUGAGUGAUCCGGUGAGGCUCUGGGACCUGGACGGAAAGAGCGUUUCGCUUGUUCUGUUUGGGAAACUUGGUCGAACCUUAUCAUUUAGAGGAAGGAGAAGUCGUAACA